UGGGGCAGCUGGUGUUGUGAAUCAGGCCGUUGCCACUCAGAGAACGGCUACUUCACAACACCAGGGUCACA
rnacentral:pre_miRNA from 1 species